UACGUAGGGUGCAAGCGUUAAUCGGAAUUACUGGGCGUAAAGCGUGCGCAGGCGGUUGUGCAAGACAGAGGUGAAAUCCCCGGGCUUAACCUGGGAAUGGCCUUUGUGACUGCACGGCUAGAGUGUGUCAGAGGGGGGUAGAAUUCCACGUGUAGCAGUGAAAUGCGUAGAGAUGUGGAGGAAUACCGAUGGCGAAGGCAGCCCCCUGGGAUAACACUGACGCUUAGGCACGAAAGCGUGGGGAGCAAACAGG
rnacentral:rRNA from 1 species